GACGAACGCUGGCGGCGUGCUUAACACAUGCAAGUCGAACGGAAAGGCCCUGCUUUUGUGGGGUGCUCGAGUGGCGAACGGGUGAGUAACACGUGAGUAGCCUGCCCUUGACUUUGGGAUAACUUCAGGAAACUGGGGCUAAUACCGGAUAGGAGCUCCUGCUGCAUGGUGGGGGUUGGAAAGUUUCGGCGGUUGGGGAUGGACUCGCGGCUUAUCAGCUUGUUGGUGGGGUAGUGGCUUACCAAGGCUUUGACGGGUAGCCGGCCUGAGAGGGUGACCGGCCACAUUGGGACUGAGAUACGGCCCAGACUCCUACGGGAGGCAGCAGUGGGGAAUAUUGCACAAUGGGCGGAAGCCUGAUGCAGCAACGCCGCGUGCGGGAUGACGGCCUUCGGGUUGUAAACCGCUUUCGCCUGUGACGAAGCGUGAGUGACGGUAAUGAGUAAAGAAGCACCGGCUAACUACGUG
rnacentral:rRNA from 1 species